UUCGUUGAUAACGGUAAAUCCCCAUAAGGAAUUUUUAAUUUAGUGUUUCUGUGGUUUAUACGAAAAAAUAAGACUAUUCAGUUGGAUAAAUUGUGGAAGGAACGUGCCUUUUGAGUGAUUUCUUUUUGUUUUUGCCCAGAACCUUUUGUUGUUGAUAAAAUAAUGGCUUUGAAACAUGUUCUUAAACUUCCGAGCAUCAAUGCUUUUAUAGAUGACAACAAAAUUAUAAAAAGAGGUGAAAAUGCCUUAGAAUCCAGCCACGUCAAGAAGAUGGACUUUGACUCUGAUUUGCAAAUCAUCAGAGGGGAUGUAUUUGCAAGUAUGGAAAACAUGAGCUACAAGGUAUCUAUAGCUUUGGAAAAAAACGGUGAUAUUAAGGAAGCAACUUACGCUUGUCCAAGAGGCAUAAAGUGCCAUCACAUCGCGGCGUUAGCCCUUUUUGGGCAUUACAACAUAUCGAUAACAGAUAAAGCAUGUGCGUGGAAUGCACCACCUAAACCGAAAGAUGGGCCUUUAUCCACCAAAGCCCUAUACAGCACUUGAAGACGAGGUGCCAAAUGCGUCUAUCAACAGAUUGAAGCAAAGGCUUCACAGUUUUGGAAAUACAGUUGGUUUUACGUGGAUAUUGAAUGAGGAGUCACAAAAUCCGUUGGAAAAUUAAUUUGUGGUAAUUGAAGA